rnacentral:lncRNA from 1 species
UUAGAAGAUGUUACCAGACAGCAAGGAUAAAGUUCCAACAGAAACUAUUACGUUCAAUGAUCGAAACACUUCCUGAAAGGAACCUUUAUGACAGUCCCUGCACGGGAUUAUACAUAACACAGAAAUACAUCAAAUAGGCACGGAAGUCAGAAUAAAAACCAACACACGGACACACCACAGAGUACUUUGAACCGAUUUUAACCUCACCCAACCAUGUUCCAGAUUUACAGUACACGCCUAAUGUAGUUUCACCGGUAUGUCAGAUGACAUGAGAAUGUUCGCAGUGAUUCUACCAACGUGCACGUUUGUGCCUGCAAUAAUGCCCGGAGGUUCACCUUUCGCUACCACCAAAAGUUGAAAUUUCACCUAUGUCUCAAAGUGACAACAAACAUAACGAAAACGAACCUCGGGGUUUAUGAUUAAAAAGGAACUACAAAAAAUAAACUACAUGUACGUUAAGAAAUACUCGUUCUGUGUUCUGUACAGACUGGAUUAUAAAAAAUGAUGUGAAGGAAACGUAAGCCAAUAGUGAGAUGCUAUACUGGUGUGAAUUUUACUUAGAUACACAAUGAACUAAAUCUCGGCCACAAAUUUGUUGGAAGGGUAUCAAUUACCCAGUAUAGUAUAUAUUGACUUUCUUUUCGUCUCGCAAGAGUAAACAAUAAAUUGUAGCGAACUGAAGUACCAUAGAAAACCGUUAUAGAAAUAAUACAGGUAGACAGAAGACAGUUAGUGGGAGACAAUCCAACUAUUAAUUUAAAAUGUUACACAAUGACUUAGUACCUUGUCAACGAGAGGAAAAAAGAUAGUUAACCAACAGUGAAUUAGAAAAAUAAUCAAUAUGGCGGAACUAAUAAACAAGGAAAGAACAAGACUAAAAACCAAGAAAAUAUUUGUCACAGCCAGUUUGAAUCGCGGAGUAAAGCAUUGCAAGUAAAACAGAACAGAAAUUAGAGCAGAUUACUGAAAAGCUUGCCUACCUUCUCAACAAUAUUAUAGAAGUUCGUACGGGAGAUUGUAGAAGAAAGGAAAUAUAAAAUUGGAGAUCCACUGCAAAGGGAUUAAAAAUUAUUGAAAUUGGGCUCUAACAAAAAAAAAUGGAAUAAUAAUAUUCAGACUAAUUAUUGCAUUUAAGCGAAAUGCUUAUACGUAUAUAGUUAAAUUAACUACAACAACGCCAGUUAUAAUGUGAUUUGUGGCGGCAGUACAAUGUAAUCCCUCACUGGACUCAGUAGUGUUAACAUUUCAGGUCUCCUGAAGCCCAUUUAAUGUUUCAGUAUAAGACAGGUCUACCCAAGGUGGCUCUAAAGCUUUAAGGUCUUAGCACAUUUUUAACAUCUUAACUUGAUUAUAUUACGUGCUUUCUGGGGAUCGUAUGGCUUUUAUCAACGGUCUCGACAUCAGUCUUAAACAGUGGAGUGGAGGCUUGUUAGAAUAAUUUGCAUAUAUAGUAACACAUAAGCACAGAUAGUGCUAGAAACCCUUUUCCUUCAAUCAUAAUGUAGGCAUUUACCUAGAGCAUUUUAUUUUCAAGGGAAAUAAUUGUGGUCUGACUGUAUUAUUUCAAAAAUCACAUUUGAGAUUUUUUUACUUGCACACCGGUACAGUUUUGCGGGGAAGCGAAAGUUGCUGGAAUUUUGUCUUCUUCUAAAAACAAGUGUCUGAUACAUGUAGUUGCAGUCUGUCUUUGGAAGCUGUUGAAGUAACAAGAAAGAGGCUACAUUGACAUCCUGGUAUACUUUGUUAUAUAUGAAGUUUAUUGAUGGCAUUCAUGAUAUCAUUAUAGAGUACCCUACAUUGAUUUUCUGACAGUCAUGUGUUAGUACAUUUGAACUGGGACUGUUUCAUAAUCAGUUUUGGUAGGGAGAAGUUUGAGUAUGUACAGUUGUUUGACCUGUCUUACCAUGUGGCAGUC